rnacentral:rRNA from 1 species
AUUGAACGCUGGCGGCAUGCUUUACACAUGCAAGUCGAACGGUAACAGGCCGCAAGGUGCUGACGAGUGGCGGACGGGUGAGUAAUGCAUCGGAACGUGCCCAGUCGUUGGGGAUAACUACUCGAAAGAGUAGCUAAUACCGCAUACGAUCUAUGGAUGAAAGCGGGGGACCGUAAGGCCUCGCGCGGUUGGAGCGGCCGAGGUCAGAUUAGGUAGUUGGUGGGGUAAAGGCUCACCAAGCCAACGAUCUGUAGCUGUUCUGAGAGGACGACCGGCCACACUGGGACUGAGACACGGCCCAGACUCCUACGGGAGGCAGCAGUGGGGAAUUUUGGACAAUGGGCGCAAGCCUGAUCCAGCAAUGCCGCGUGCAGGAAGAAGGCCUUCGGGUUGUAAACUGCUUUUGUACGGAACGAAACGGCUCUGGUUAAUACCCGGGGUUAAUGACGGUACCGUAAGAAUAAGCACCGGCUAACUACGUG